UGAAAUUGUAGGCGACCUCACGAAAAGAGGGGCGGUCCGUAGAGAGGGUCCCUCUAGGACUCGUCGCCCCCUCCCCCCUCUCGGGUGCCUCCAGGCGCCCGGAGCUGCCCCGUAUUUCCGGAGGGUGAAGAACGCGGUGAUGGGUGGUUGGGUGAUUGCACGUCCUGGGUCCAGAAGGAGUUUGCCUCGGGGCAACCCCUUCCCUUUUGCUCGUCCCGCCCAUUCCCCUUAAAGGGUUAACAACUGAGGGGCAACUUCCAAGGGCUGGCACUUGGCUAAGAAGCGGGGCUCCCCCCUCCCCACCCUUCGCCUCAUCGCCCCUCCUCCGCCGGCUCCACUUCCCGACUUGACCUUGUGGUGCACAAACAGUGCGCUUGGAUCCUCGCAGUUUCUGGAAGAAGAGCCUGCGCUCGCCAGGCGGGCGGGCUGUCGGGCGGCUAGCCGGCGGUGGCGGGGCCUUGGGUCGGUUCCCAGAGCUGCGGACCACACCCACCUAACCCGCUGCGCCCGCCGCGCUCACCGCGCUCACCUUCUCUCUAGGAAGGAGAAGGGCUUGUCUCUUGGAUGGGGAUGGUUGGGGGCAACCUUCAGCCUCCUCGAAAUGCCUCAGCCAGCGAAGUAGUCUGGCCUUGGCUGGCGGUUUGGGGGAGAUCCGGGAGGCUAGCCCAAUAUUCCCAUGGCAUAGUUGCCAGCUUUUUCUCCACCCCACCCCACCCCCGCUCUCUUGGCUGCCCCUCCAAGAUGAUCCAAUGAUUUUUGCAACUCACCUUUUGGUUUUGAAGGCAUGUGGGUGAGUUGUGAAUCCCUUUCCCUCUCCAAGACUGAAGGUUGUUUAUUCUUCCUUUUCCCGCCACCGACUUCCAUGAAAACAUAAAUAUUCAAUUUACAUAAGAUGACAUUUAUGUGACAAUUAAGAAGAUUCCCCCAUGGACUGUUGUGAACACAUUUGCUUAUAGGAGAAAUAAAUCUAAUAAUAAACAAACUCAUAAUAACAGCUCAAAUCCGACAGGGCGGAUUGUCUACACAACAAAGAGGGAGAUGAUGGGUGCUGAAAUAAGCACUUUUCGCAACAAGAAAGAAAUAUG
rnacentral:lncRNA from 1 species